CCGGUGAAUUAUCCGGGCCUCUGACCGUCACGUCUUGUGACACCGCUACCCACGACCAAGUGAACAAACGGGCUCCUAGGGAGCGCCGGAACAAAUCCACGGUGUACGUCUCGGGGACAAAACACCCGCAGCUUCCUGCAGCGGAUUCGGCCUGCGAGUUCGUGGAUCAGAUGAAGUGUAACAUAAUAACCUUUGUGCCCGAGACCGGCGACGGCUCCCGGGACACUCUCAGGGCCCUGCGAUCUCUCGGUGUGGAUCGAGAGUGUGAGGUUUCACACAUUCUCCCUCCCCAGGAUCGAUGCUUGCGACUGUUGAUUAAAAAGUUGGGCACGUGCAUGCCCGAAGCGGGGAUCAGUGAGGAGCUGACCGCCAUGCAAAUUAACGUGCAUUUGUUCAUGCAACUCCGAGGUGUUCGAGUCUCAAUCGUCCAUUCUGCGUAUUCAGACACUAAGCCGACUGAUCCAUGUUUGGUGGACUUGUUGGAAGUCAGCUUGAUUUGUACUUCAAAAAUGUCUAUAUUACUAUGAUUCCUCGCUGCUUUUUAACGAUUUGCAUGCCAAAAUCGUCGUUGAAGAUCCGAUCUUCAAAAACGUUGAGCGAGAUAUCCAUUGGUCUCUUCUUGGUUCCAACCUGGUUCGCCGAGUCGUUAAAAUCAGUAACUAAGACGACUUAUCUACAUUUCAUCUACUUUAUGUAGGCUUCGUGUUUGGGCCAUUAAUGAGUUUUAGGUGUAUGUGAUUCUUAGCUAAUUUUGGAUGGCUUUAGAAAAGUCUUGAAUUUUUUAUUUAAAUUAGAAAUUUUUAAUUUCACAUUUAAUAUGCCAAAUUUGGAAAUGUUUUUCAUGUUUCCAUAUAUAACAUUCGUUAUAAUUUUAAGCUGAUGUUGCGUAGGUUCUUGCGUUUAUAUACCGUAUAAUUCUCCAGUGUAUUUGUUGCACAACCGAUAAAAAUUUAUUAACCGUUCUGCAGUUGUCAGAGGGUGGGACAGGCGAUGUUAGGGCUACUUGCGCCGUCGAAUGUCAGAAGUGUUGUAUGAGGACGGUCGAACGACAUUUAGGCUAAUUCAGAUGACUAUUCUAUUUCGUGAUGCUUCGAUAAAAUUCAAUGGAGGUUGCAUUAGAAAUUUAGGUUGGCAAUCACAGAUUGGGGCGGGGUGGGGCCAAAAUCACUACGUUCUAAAAUUAGUAAUGUAACUGUGUAAAGGUGAACUACGUUGUAUUAAGUUUACGUUUCAGAAUCAAUUUCAUGUUACAAUUAAGAAUUUAAUGUCGAUCCACUGCAACAGUUCUUUAACGAUUGUAUGCUUUUGUGUAUGGAAUGACAUCUUCAGACCUAA